rnacentral:lncRNA from 1 species
AUUCUGUCGAAGCAAAAACAAAAUAAGUUCUAUUGGAAAUGUUUGCAAUACCAACAAUGCCUUUGUCAUGGAAAUAAAUAUGAAAGUUUAAUUUUUAAAUUGAAAACAUCAUUGUAAACAAUCAAAUAUCUAUAUGCAUGAGUAAAAAAAUGAAGUGACUUUAAUUAAUGUAGCUACUAGAUUUUUUAAAGUAGAAGGAAUUGAUGUAUGUUUUACAUAAACAAGAAUCGUAUGAUUUAUUUCAUAAGAAUUUGAUUUAUAUAUUU